AACGCACAUUGCGCCCAUUAGUAUUCUAGUGGGCAUGCCUAUUCGAGCGUCAUUUCGACCCUUAAGCCCUCGUUGCUUAGCGUUGGGAGCCUGCGUCCCCUAGGGGCGCAGUUCCUCAAAGUUAGUGGCGGAGCUAGGGCACACUCUAAGCGUAGUAAGCUAUUCUCGCUUCUGUGGUGUACCUAGCCUCCUGCCGUAAAACCCCUAUACAUCUAGUGGUUGACCUCGAAUUAGGUAGGAAUACCCGCUGAACUUAA
rnacentral:misc_RNA from 1 species